GGGAAAAGAGGAUAGGGCUUGGGACAUGAGCCACCCCGAGUCCUCAGGUGAAUAGGCUCU
rfam:Otolemur garnettii contig179762, whole genome shotgun sequence.